GACGAACGCUGGCGGCGUGCCUAACACAUGCAAGUCGAACGGUGGAAGAGGGAGCUUGCUCCCUUCGGAUUAGCGGCGAACGGGUGAGUAACACGUGCGUAAUCUGCUCCGAACUCUGGGAUAAGCGCUGGAAACGACGUCUAAUACCGGAUAAGACGCGGGACGGCAUACUCCACGCGUGCAACGAACUUCGGUUGGGGGUGGGCGCGGGGCCAAUCAGCUCGUUAGUGCGGUAUCGGCUCACCACGGGGACGGGGGAUAGCCGGCCUGAGAGGGGAGCCAGCGUCACGGGUACUGAGACACGGCCCAGACGGCAACGGGAGGCAGCAGUGGGGAGUAUUGCACAGUGAGCGCAAGCCUGAGACAGCAACCCCGCGUGAGUGACGACCGCCUGCGGGGUGUAAACCUCUGUUAGCAAAGAAGAAGCGAAAGUGACGGUACCUACAGAAAAAGCACCGGCUAACUACGUG
rnacentral:rRNA from 1 species